UUUACAAUACCUUGCCAGGAAUCUGGUGCAUGAUUCUGAAGACUCCAAAUCUAGACAUGUUUUAUUCCUUAUGAAAAUUUUUCUAACUACAUUCUAAAAUGCACUUAUGUUGCCAUUUUAUAUAUAUGCAUUAACUCAACUUUGCCAAUUUUUUUUUUUUUUUUUUUUUUGAGAUGGAGUUUUGCUCUUCUUUCCCAGGCUAGAGUACAAUGGCAUGAUCUCGGCUCACUGCAACCUCUGCCUCCUGGGUUCAAGUGAUUCUCCUGCCUCAGCCUCCCGAGUAGCUGGGAUUAGAGGCGUGUGCCACCAUGCCUGGCUAAUUUUGUAUUUUUAGUACAGAUGGGGUUUCACUGUGUUGGUCAGGCUGGUCUCAAACUCCUGACUUCAGAUGAUCCACCCACCUUGGCCUCCCAAUGUGCUGGGGUUACAGGCAUGAGGCACCGCACCCAGCAAGUUUGCCAAUUUUUAAAAUCAUGUGGUUAAAUAAAAUUCUCUUUCUUGUUAAAUAGAUUGCAUUAUCACUGCCAGUAUUUUUCCUCUUCCAGACUCAUCCUGCCAUCAUGACCUUUUGUUACGCUCACAUAUCACCAAACUAAGAGGAAGAGGCCAAAAGAACCGCUGGACACCAAUUCAGUUUUCCCACUCAGCAAUGUGGAUUUCUAUGCAAUCCUCAAAUCAAGGGAAAGGAAAGAACCAUUCCAAAAUGUCCUUCCAAUUCACAGGUAUGUACACAUCCCAUUGAUCCAGCUUCUCUGGAGAUCGCUGACUGCUACACUCCUCUUCCUUGGCUCCCCUGGCCUCACCUCCUUUCUCUGGAUCCGCCCACUCUCCGCUCUCUGCGUCGUUUGCCUGCAGUGUCUGUGACUCAUAGGCCUAUAAUAAUCCUUCCGCUUCUGCUUGCCAAACUCUCCUCUCUUCAUUCAAGAGUCUCCCCAAAUCCCACAUCAUCCCAUCAAGGAAACAACAGUCUCUCCUCCCUAGGAUGAAGCCAUUCAGUGGAGCAGAUUCCAGAAAGAAAACUCUGUGUGAGUGUUCCUUUGAAAAUUCAUAUUGGAGACUGUUCCAUGCGUGACAGUGAGGGGACUUGGUGUUCCACAGGCUCCAGGGCUCCCUCUGCUCUGCACAGGUC
rnacentral:lncRNA from 1 species